CCCGGCGCGGCGCGACCCCGUCGAUGUGGAUAGGGCCCUUCCUCCCAGCGACCGUAUGUGGCGGCCGGGGACAGUGCUGCUGGUCUGCGCUGAAAGCCUUGGACACACCGGGCUACAUCUUGCAGGCUCGUAGAAAAAUGGGAACCAAAGAACCUUGUAUGUGUUGCCUUCAUUAGUCUGAAAUCUACUUUCAAUCCCAAGGACAGAUGUGAAUGAAGCAAAGAAAUAUGCUGCAGAUGUGAACUUGAAUGAAAUUACUCCGCUGUCUAUAAUCAGUGAUACUGCAAGAAUUAACCAACUAAACAAGAAUUUACAAAUAAAACCUAAGAAGUCUGGUGAAGCCUGGGAACU
rnacentral:lncRNA from 1 species